ACCUGAGAACAAAGAGUAGCGUUUCUUUUCUAUUAGCAUACCUACAAAGCUCAUAAAUCUCAUACAUUGCAUAAUUUCCAAAAUGAAUUUUUUUUUUUUCACUAAAAUUCCAACACUUCUUCCACGCAUCUAUCUCUUAUACUAACUUGAAAGUGAAAAGCGAUUUUACUUGCACAUCCUUUUUUCAGAUAGCAGUCGGAAGUUGCAACAGCAUGCAUCAGUCUUUUGAACCAUCUGCAACCAUUGAACAAAUAAAGAUUCAUCAGCCUUAUAUGGAUGUAAAAGAAUCCUGAACAAUCAUAUUCCUUACCACAAUUUAGUUCGUUCCUAAGGAUAUUACAUUGGUAGAACUCCUUCCCCUUCUUCAUCUUUACCCAUGUCAUGCAAUCGA